UACGAAGGGAGCUAGCGUUGUUCGGAAUCACUGGGCGUAAAGCGCACGUAGGCGGAUUUGUCAGUCAGGGGUGAAAUCCCAGGGCUCAACCCUGGAACUGCCUUUGAUACUGACGAUCUGGAGAUCGGGAGAGGUGAGUGGAAUUCCGAGUGUAGAGGUGAAAUUCGUAGAUAUUCGGAGGAACACCAGAAGCGAAGGCGGCUCACUGGCCCGAUACUGACGCUGAGGCGCGAAAGCGUGGGGAGCAAACAGG
rnacentral:rRNA from 1 species